CUUUGACUGUUGGCAUGUGGUGUUUAGGCUGGCAUGCUCCAAUGCUUCGUUGUGCUAAGUCCAUUCUUGAAUAUGGCUAGAUAUCUGGCCCAAAGAUGGUGAACUGUCCGUUUGCACAGUGAGGUUUUGGGUCAAUGUCAGCUUUGGAGUCGGGUUGUUUGUGAAUGCAGCCCAAAGUUGGUGGUAAACUCCAUCUAAGGCUAAAUACUGGCACGAGUCCGAUAGCGAACAAGUACCGUGAGGGAAAGUUGAAAAGUACUCUGAAGAGAGAGUUAACAGUGCGUGAAACCGCUUAGAAGUAAACUGGUGUAGUCAAGCUGCAAGCCUUUAGAAGUUAGUUGGUCAGAAUGACGUAAGUCUGAGCGUUGAGCCGUUGUCAGGUCCAUCGUAAUGGUGGGUUCGCCUUUUUCGAAAGGUGGAUAUGUGGUGCGAAUCUCGUUGCUGCGUACCUGGCGCCGGUUGCUCUGCUGACCCGCUUAUUUUCUGUUGGCGUUCGUCACGACCGCUGUUGCUGCCAGUCUGCUCCACCUAAACCGUUACGUGAUUAGUUAUUACUUUUUGCGUUUCGGGGGCAGGUUUUCCGGUCCGUUUGUAAAAAUGGCUGGAUGUUGAAGCCGGGUGGUGUGGUGCUUGUAAACUGUGCGGUGCAGUGGUACAGCGGCAGGUUGUGUUGUGCCCUGGGUGUGCUAAAGUCGUGUCUGCAUUGUUGUUGUAUGACCGUUUGUUGCUGUCUCUGAUAGCCUUUCGGUUGCAAUGACGUGCGGAUUUCGCGGCUGCAUCUGGCAAACCAUUACGCUGUGCCUAUAGUCUGUGACUUAGUGGUAGACGAUUCACCUGACCCGUCUUGAAACACGGACCAAGGAGUUUAACUUGUGCGCGAGUCAAUGGGUGCCCUGGUGCAUACGAAACCCAUAGGCGUAGUGAAAGUAAUGGAGAGCAAGUGUCCCUGUGACGUUUGUUCGCCAUGGUGAGAUCUGACUGUUUCUCUAGAAAUUUGUUCAACAGAAUCUAGUGCAGUUGGCGCAUCACCGGCCUGUCCCAUGAUGUAGUAUGGGCUGCCAUGCACAUUGGGGCAGAGCAUGAGCGUACAUGUGAGACCCGAAGAAUAUGUUGUGUAACACAUAAUUGACAGG
rnacentral:rRNA from 1 species